GAUGAACGCUAGCGGCAGGCCUAACACAUGCAAGUCGAGGGGUAGAGGAAGCUUGCUUCCUUGAGACCGGCGCACGGGUGCGUAACGCGUAUGCAAUCUACCUUGUACAGGGGGAUAGCCCAGAGAAAUUUGGAUUAAUACCUCAUAGUGUUUAAGAGUGGCAUCACUUUUUUACUAAAGUUCCAACGGUACAAGAUGAGCAUGCGUCCCAUUAGCUAGUUGGUGUGGUAACGGCAUACCAAGGCAAUGAUGGGUAGGGGUCCUGAGAGGGAGGUCCCCCACACUGGUACUGAGACACGGACCAGACUCCUACGGGAGGCAGCAGUGAGGAAUAUUGGGCAAUGGAGGCAACUCUGACCCAGCCAUGCCGCGUGCAGGAAGACGGUCCUAUGGAUUGUAAACUGCUUUUGUACGAGAAGAA
rnacentral:rRNA from 1 species